GCCUUUGAUACUGGUUAUCUUGAGUUCUAUUGAAGUACGCGGAAUAUGUAGUGUAGCGGUGAAAUGCAUAGAUAUUACAUAGAACACCAAUUGCGAAGGCAGCUUACUAAGUACUAACUGACGCUGAUGGACGAAAGCGUGGGUAGCGAACAGGAUUAGAUACCCUGGUAGUCCACGCCGUAAACGAUGGAUACUAGCUGUUCGGGGCCUUGAGCUCUGAGCGGCUAAGCGAAAGUGAUAAGUAUCCCACCUGGGGAGUACGUUCGCAAGAAUGAAACUCAAAGGAAUUGACGGGGGCCCGCACAAGCGGUGGAGCAUGUGGUUUAAUUCGAUGAUACGCGAGGAACCUUACCAGGGCUUAAAUGUAGUCUGACAG
rnacentral:rRNA from 1 species